UUGGUUUAAGGGUUACUAGACGGUAAUUUUUGCCUUUGAAUGGGGACAGAGUUACUAGAGUUUUAUGUGAAAAGUAUAUUUAGAACUCAUGGUGUAGAACUGAUAAUUUAAAAUACUAUGGGGAAUGAUAAAGGCGAAGGCAAACUUUUAUGUAAAAACUGACGUUGAGGAACGAAGGCAAGGACAGUGAAUAGGAUUAGAACCCUAGUAACCCUAGCAGAAAAUGAUGAGUGCCAUAGGUUGUCUUAAAUUUAAAUCGCCUAUAAAUGAAAGUGUAAGCAUUCCAC
rnacentral:rRNA from 1 species